GCAGUGGUGGUUCAGUGGUAGAACACUUGCCUUGUGCAGGAGACCUGGCUUCAAUUUCCAAUCAAUGCA
rnacentral:tRNA from 1 species